rnacentral:rRNA from 1 species
GACGAACGCUGGCGGCGUGCUUAAGACAUGCAAGUCGUACGAGAAAGUCACUUCGGUGGCGAGUAAAGUGGCGCACGGGUGAGUAACGCGUGGAUAAUCUGCCCUUAGGUUUGGGAUAACCCCGGGAAACCGGAGCUAAUACCAAAUGAGACCACGAUGACUUCGGUCGAUGUGGGAAAAGGUGGCCUCUUCUUGAAAGCCAUCGCCAAAGGAUGAGUCCGCGUUUGAUUAGCUUGUUGGUGAGGUAAAAGCUCACCAAGGCUCCGAUCAAUAGCUGUCUGAGAGGAUGAUCAGCCACACUGGAACUGAGACACGGUCCAGACUCCUACGGGAGGCAGCAGUCGGGAAUAUUGGGCAAUGGAGGCAACUCUGACCCAGCAACGCCGCGUGAAGGAUGAAGGCCUUCGGGUCGUAAACUUCUGUCGAGAGGGAAGAAACACGUACGGUUAAUAUCCGUGCGUCUGACGGUACCUCCAAAGGAAGCACCGGCUAACUCCGUGCCAGCAGCCGCGGUAAUACGGAGGGUGCAAGCGUUGUCCGGAUUUAUUGGGCGUAAAGCGAGUGUAGGCGGUUUGACAAGUCGGGUGUGAAAUCCCAGGG